rnacentral:rRNA from 1 species
UACGAAGGGGGCUAGCGUUGUUCGGAAUUACUGGGCGUAAAGGGCGCGUAGGCGGUCCUGAUCGUCGGAUGUGAAAGGCCUGGGCUCAACCUGGGAACUGCAUUUGUGACUGCAAGGCUAGAGUACGGUAGAGGGGGAUGGAAUUCCGCGUGUAGCAGUGAAAUGCGUAGAGAUGUGGAGGAACACCGAUGGCGAAGGCAGCCCCCUGGGUCAAGAUUGACGCUCAUGCACGAAAGCGUGGGGAGCAAACAGG